rnacentral:miRNA from 1 species
UGACAGAAGAGAGAGAGCAG